UGGAUUCUCUGGGCCUCACUGAGGAGCGACCCUUCUUGAAUGGUAUGCAGAAGUGAAACAGAGCUGCAAAGAAGGGCUACGAAAUAUGGUUUCCGACCUAUCACUCAUUUUACCAUGGAUGUCCUUGGAUUGGAGUUUUGCUGUGGCAGAGAACUUGCGUCAGAGCGGCAUCUUCUUGAGAUGAUCAGUCCCAUCAUGAUCAGUGAACACUGGCAGGCAAAGUGGAAGAAGAAAUUGGAGCAGCGAUAUGGCAAAUGGAGCAAGCACUUCAAGGAGCUCAAACAGAAGGAGAGAGGAUAUGCUAUGACCUGCCAUUCCCUUCCAGAACACAGAUCGCCAAGGCCCCUGUAGAACUUAAAACAAGGACUGUCCCUGGCCAGGUAAGGCAUUAUGGGAGCUGUAGUUCAAAAAGAUCU
rnacentral:lncRNA from 1 species